GAUGAAGAACGUAGCGAAAUGCGAUAAGUAAUGUGAAUUGCAGAAUUCAGUGAUUCAUCGAAUCUUUGAACGCACAUUGCGCCCAUUAGUAUUCUAGUGGGCAUGCCUGUUCGAGCGUCAUUUCAACCCUUAAGCCUAGCUUAGUAUUGGGAAUCGACUUUACUGUCGUUCCUCAAAUUCAACGGCGGAUUUAUAGCAAUCUCUGAACGUAGUAAUUUUUUUCCUCGUUUUUGAAAUACUAUAAACCUCAGCCGCUAAACCCCCAAUUUUUCUAUGGUUGACCUCGGAUCAGGUAGGAAUACCCGCUGAACUUAAGCAUAUCAAUAAGCGGAGGA
rnacentral:misc_RNA from 1 species